rnacentral:rRNA from 1 species
UACGGGGGGGGUAAGCGUUGUUCGGAAUUACUGGGCGUAAAGGGCUCGUAGGCGGCCAACUAAGUCAUACGUGAAAUCCCUCAGCUUAACUGGGGAACUGCGUGUGAUACUGGAUGGCUUGGAUUUGGGAGAGGGAUGCGGAAUUCCAGGUGUAGCGGUGAAAUGCGUAGAUAUCUGGAGGAACACCGGUGACGAAGGCGGCAUCCUGGACCAAUAUUGACGCUGAGGAGCGAAAGCUAGGGGAGCAAACGGGG